rnacentral:rRNA from 1 species
UAGGGAAUCUUCGGCAAUGGACGAAAGUCUGACCGAGCAACGCCGCGUGAGUGAAGAAGGUUUUCGGAUCGUAAAACUCUGUUGUUAGAGAAGAACAAGGACGUUAGUAACUGAACGUCCCCUGACGGUAUCUAACCAGAAAGCCACGGCUAACUACGUGCCAGCAGCCGCGGUAAUACGUAGGUGGCAAGCGUUGUCCGGAUUUAUUGGGCGUAAAGCGGGCGCAGGCGGUUUCUUAAGUCUGAUGUGAAAGCCCCCGGCUCAACCGGGGAGGGUCAUUGGAAACUGGGAGACUUGAGAGCAGAAGGGGAGAGUGGAAUUCCGUGUGUAGCGGUGAAAUGCGUAUAUAUAUGGAGGAACACCAGUGGCGAAGUCGGCUCUCUGGUCUGUAACUGCCGCUGAGGCUCGAAAGCGUGGGGGGCAAACAGG